CAUCGCUCAUCUGCUGUCUGUUUGGCUUUAACAACUCCAAAGACAUGUUGCUUUACCUCUUUUUACUCUUCUUUACCUUUAUAGCCCAGGGUUCCAUGGACAGCAUAAAUCCACAAAGUACUGAAGAACAUGUUGCAGAGGGCAGAGACAUCAACCUGACCUGUAAAUAUGAGGGAGGUAAUAUCAACAAUAUCCAGUGGUACCGACAAUACCAGAGAUCCAGACCAGAGUUCCUGCUCUACAUCACCGAGGGAGGAUUGAUUCAUCCAACUGGUUCUGGUUUCUCAGCUCACAUUAACAAAGCAGAGAAACAUGUUGAUCUGGAGAUCAUCUCAGCUAAAGUGUCACACUCUGCUGUGUACUACUGUGCUCUGCAGCCCACAGUGACAGGAAACACCUAAACUCUGUACAAAAACCUUUGGAGCAAAGACAACACAAUACUCCACAACGUCCACUAGAGGGAGUCACACUCUGUUCCACUUCAACAGGAGCUGAUGAUCCAGUCUAGAUUGUUUCCCCUCAUGAGUCAGUUGUGAUGAAGACCUUUAGAGAUGA